CAUCCUGCUGGAGGCUUUUCCAGCCUUGGGCACCAGGAGAUCCGUCACCGGGACACAACUGGCGGUCGGCUCCUGCGAUCCGUCACCGGGACGCUGGGGUGCGGCCGAGCCCAAGGCCGGGAAAGAUAGGCAGACCAGCAGUAGGGGUGAUCAGAUGAGGAAACUAAGCAAGCUCAGAGAGUGGAGCUCCUCGUCCAAGGUCACUCGCUGCCAGGAUAAACUAGGGCAGGCCGCACAGCCAGGAAACACCAACUGCCUGGAUGUCUUUGUUUCUGUCUGGAUAACACCGUUUUCCUUUUAUUCCUGUAGAAUCUUCGCCGUGGGGACAGUGUCUCUGGGGAGUGGAGACUGUCUCAAAGAUACCAGGUCUGCUUCUCUUUUAAUGAGGCAUUUGAACCUUCUGCUCUUCGACCUUGAGGUAUUUGCUUAUUUAUGGGUUCUGCUGCCUUAUAACCUCGGCACCCCCUCAUCUCUCAGAAUGUCCACCUCCGGACUCUGCGUCUGUGUCAUUUACAUCAUGCGCCAAACCCCCACGUGUGUCCGGGGUGGGUGUUAAAGACACGAUCCUCUGGCCCCUCUCCUUGGAGCUUCGGUUCUCACGGGCAGGGCUCAGGAACCUGUAUUUCAGCCAUCAUCCCACGUGAUUCUCA